CAUGCCUACUGAUGGAAACUCAGGAAACAUGUGCCCACAUGGUCAUUAUUGUCCGAAUGGAAGCGCUCAACCUCUGCCAUGUGAUCUGGGGACAUUUAUGUCUGCCACACAGGCCUCUCAGUGCUGGCCCUGCACGGCUGGAUGGUACUGUGUGGAUGGGGCUCGCUUACCAUGUCCACAAGGUUUUUACUGUCCAGAGGGGACGGCUUAUGAGUGGAAAGCUUGUCCACCAGGCACUUACAGCCCAGACUCUGGCCUGAGUGAGCUCUCCCAGUGCAUGGAGUGUGAUGGAGGACACUACUGCUCUUACCAGAAUGCUACAUCUGUCUCUGGACUGUGCUCUGCAGGAUAUUACUGCAUACGUGGAAACACCUCACCGCAGCCACUCACCUUGUCCACAGGAGAUGGUGGACCUUGUCCUGCAGGUCAUUUCUGUCUAGAAGGCACCAGGGACCCCCAGCCUUGUCCAGCGGGGACGUUUAGUAAUAGAACCAAAUUAACUUCAGAGGACGAGUGUGUUCCCUGUUCUCCUGGUCAUUACUGUGACACACCUGGGCUGACUGCUCCCAAAGGGGAAUGUUGGGAGGGUUUCUACUGCAGCCAAGGAGCUUUGCUGCCCAAUUCUUUAAUCAGGGACCACAGAGGAGGGCCAUGUCCUGCAGGUUAUUUUUGUCCUAGAGGGUCCAGUGUGCCUCAGUCCUGUCCACAAGGAUCCAUCAGCAACAAUGAGGGCCAAGCCAGCUGCAGCCCCUGUCCCCGCGGGUAC
ensembl:lncRNA